rnacentral:rRNA from 1 species
UACGUAGGCAGCGAGCGUUGUUCGGAGUUACUGGGCGUAAAGCGUGCGUAGGCGGUGUCUUAAGUUUGUUGUGAAAUCUCCCGGCUUAACCGGGAGGGUGCGGCGAAUACUGAGAUGCUGGAGUGCCGGAGAGGUAAGCGGAAUUCCUGGUGUAGCGGUGAAAUGCGUAGAUAUCAGGAGGAACACCGGUGGCGGUAAGGCGGCUACCCGUUGGACG